AGCGAACGCUGGCGGCAUGCUUAACACAUGCAAGUCGCACGGAUCUUUCGGGAUCAGUGGCGGACGGGUGAGUAACGCGUAGGGAUCUAUCCAUGGGUGGGGGACAACUCCGGGAAACUGGAGCUAAUACCGCAUGAUACCUGAGGGUCAAAGGCGCAAGUCGCCUGUGGAGGAACCUGCGUUCGAUUAGCUAGUUGGUGGGGUAAAGGCCUACCAAGGCGAUGAUCGAUAGCUGGUUUGAGAGGAUGAUCAGCCACACUGGGACUGAGACACGCCCAGACUCCUACGGGAGGCAGCAGUGGGGAAUAUUGGACAAUGGGCGAAAGCCUGAUCCAGCAAUGCCGCGUGUGUGAAGAAGGUCUUCGGAUUGUAAAGCACUUUCGACGGGGACGAUGAUGACGGUACCCGUAGAAGAAGCCCCGGCUAACUUCGUG
rnacentral:rRNA from 1 species